GCGGUGGCAUACUGCAUGGUUAGCGCGUUGGACUCCAGAUCGAGCAGCCCGGGUUCGAGUGCUGGCCGGGGCC